UACGAAGGGGGCUAGCGUUGUUCGGAAUUACUGGGCGUAAAGCGCGCGUAGGCGGCUUUGCAAGUCGAGUGUGAAAUCCCCAGGCUCAACCUGGGAACUGCAUUCGAGACUGCAUAGCUAGAGUAUGGGAGAGGGAAGUGGAAUUUCAGGUGUAGCGGUGAAAUGCGUAGAUAUCUGAAGGAACAUCAGUGGCGAAAGCGACUUCCUGGACCAAUACUGACGCUCAUGUGCGAAAGCGUGGGGAGCAAACAGG
rnacentral:rRNA from 1 species